rnacentral:rRNA from 1 species
AUAACGUCGCAAGACCAAAGAGGGGGACCUUCGGGCCUCUUGCCAUCGGAUGUGCCCAGAUGGGAUUAGCUAGUAGGUGGGGUAACGGCUCACCUAGGCGACGAUCCCUAGCUGGUCUGAGAGGAUGACCAGCCACACUGGAACUGAGACACGGUCCAGACUCCUACGGGAGGCAGCAGUGGGGAAUAUUGCACAAUGGGCGCAAGCCUGAUGCAGCCAUGCCGCGUGUAUGAAGAAGGCCUUCGGGUUGUAAAGUACUUUCAGCGGGGAGGAAGGGAGUAAAGUUAAUACCUUUGCUCAUUGACGUUACCCGCAGAAGAAGCACCGGCUAACUCCGUGCCAGCAGCCGCGGUAAUACGGAGGGUGCAAGCGUUAAUCGGAAUUACUGGGCGUAAAGCGCACGCAGGCGGUUUGUUAAGUCAGAUGUGAAAUCCCCGGGCUCAACCUGGGAACUGCAUCUGAUACUGGCAAGCUUGAGUCUCGUAGAGGGGGGUAGAAUUCCAGGUGUAGCGGUGAAAUGCGUAGAGAUCUGGAGGAAUACCGGUGGCGAAGGCGGCCCCCUGGACGAAGACUGACGCUCAGG